rnacentral:ribozyme from 1 species
GAAGCCCAUGGUUUGAUGGUCUGCUAUGAUGGCAGCAUACGUGGGUGGGGUUAUAACCGCCAGAAGCAGGCCAUUGGUGACGACUCCGAUGACACCUUUGUGAAGCCGUCCUUCGUCGAGGACAUGCCAGAAGGUUUCAAAGGCCACAGCGUUGCUGUUGGUGGAGCGCAGAGCUACGCGAUUCUGAAACCCCCCGGCACCUAAGCUUCCAGCAAAAACUCGGAUGGUGAUGGCGC